rnacentral:snRNA from 1 species
AUCGCUUCUCAUCCUUUUGGCUAAGAUCAAGCAUAGUAGCUGUUCUUAUCAAUUUAAUUUCUGAUAUGUCCUCUAUCCAAGAAUAUAUUAAAUGGGUUUUUGAAAAUAGGAGAUGAAAUAGGCACUUGCUCCAUCCACUAACAAAA